CUAGCUACAGGCUUAANACAUGCAAGUCGAGGGGCAGCAUGGUCUUAGCUUGCUAAGGCCGAUGGCGACCGGCGCGACGGUGAGUAACACGUAUCCAACCUGCCGUCUACUCUUGGACAGCCUUCUGAAAGGAAGAUUAAUACAAGAUGGCAUCAUGAGUCCGCAUGUUCACAUGAUUAAAGGUAUUCCGGUAGACGAUGGGGAUGCGUUCCAUUAGAUAGUAGGCGGGGUAACGGCCCACCUAGUCUUCGAUGGAUAGGGGUUCUGAGAGGAAGGUCCCCCACAUUGGAACUGAGACACGGUCCAAACUCCUACGGGAGGCAGCAGUGAGGAAUAUUGGUCAAUGGACGAGAGUCUGAACCAGCCAAGUAGCGUGAAGGAUGACUGCCCUAUGGGUUGUAAACUUCUUUUAUACGGGAAUAAAGUGAGGCACGUGUGCCUUUUUGUUAUGUUACGAUGAUAGAUCGCUAACUCCGUGC
rnacentral:rRNA from 1 species